UUAGCUCAAGGGGAAUAAGGUGAAGACGCGGUCUUGCUGCAAGGACUGGGUGUCACACCCAAGAUGCGACCCUAUCCUAAAGGAACUCGAAGGUCCCACCAAGGAUAGAAGCGCAUCUUGAAGACGCUUUUGCAAGGUGCAUAUCAUUACAUCAAACCAUUACAUAAUAGUUGGGGAUACAUACAUAAGGCACAAACGCCCCAAGAAUACAUCAACAUCAUACAAGAGAUCAACAUCCGACUACGGAUGGAACACAAACAGAAACUCAAACAAUAUCCACCCUGCUAGCCGAGGCUGCCGACCAGGAACCUAACCCAAGAUCGACGAAGAAGAAGAACUCCAACACAAGUAAACAUCGCUCUCGCGUCAUGAGCAUCGCAUAACCUGUACCUGCAACUGGUGUUGUAGUAAUCUGUGAGCCACGAGGACUCAGCAAUCCCAUUACCAUGGGUAUCAAGACUAGCAAAGAUUAAUGGGUAAGGAAAGGGUAAAGUGGUGAGGUUGCAGCAGCGGCUAAGCAAAAUAUGGUGGCUAACUUACGAAACAAGAGCGGGAAGAGGAGCUUAACAAGCGGUCGUCAACUAGUAAUGAUCAAGAAGUGAUCCUGAACUCCUACUUACGUCAAACAUAACCCAAAAACUGUGUUCUCCUCUCGAACAACCCCGAAAAGAGACAAUCACGGUUACGCACGCGGUUGAUGUAUUUUAGAAGAGUUUACUUCAAGUUUACUACAACCGGAUAUUAACAAAUUCCCAUCUGCCACAUAACCGCGGGCACGGCUCUCGAAAGUUUAUACCCUGCAGGGGUGUCCCAACUUAGCCCAUGAUAAGCUCUCACGAUCAACGAAGGAUAUUCCUUCUCCCGGGAAGACCCGAUCAGUCUCGGAAUCCCGGUUACAAGACAUUUCGACGAUGGUAAAACAAGACCAGCAAAGCCGCCCGAUGUGCCGACAAAUCCCGAUAGGAGCUGCACAUAUCUCGUUCUCAGGGCACACCGGAUGAGCAAGACGUCAGGUUGGCAUAGACCCUGGUUACCCAGGGGGCGCCAGACAUCGCUCGGUUUGGACCAGCACUUAGAGGAGCACUGGCCCGGGGGGGCUAAAAUAAAGAUGACCCUCGGGCUCCGGAAACCCAAGGGAAAAAGGCUUAGGUUGUUAGGCAAAUGUAAAACCAAUGUUGGGCCUUGCUGGAAGAGUUUUAUUCAAAGCGAACUGUCAAGGGGUUCCCAUAACACCCAACCGCGUUAGGGACGCAAAAUCCAGGAACAUAAUACCGAUAUGACGGAAACUAGGGCGGCAAGAGUGGAACAAAACACCAGGCAUAAGGCCGAGCCUUCCACCCUUUACCAAGUAUAUAGAUGCAUUAAUAAUAUAAGAGAUAUUGUGAUAUCCCAACAUAAACAUAAUCCAACAAGGAGCAAUCUUCAACUUCACCUGCAACUAGCAACGCUAUAAGAGGGGCUGAGCAAAAGCGGUAACAUAGCCAAACAACGGUUUGCUAGGAAGGGUGACAAAGGUUAGAGGUUCAUGGCAAUUUGGGAGGCUUGAUAAGCAAGUGGUAGGUAACGCGGCAUAGCGAUAGCAUCGAGGCAUCUAGCAUAGCAAUGAUAGUAGUGAGAUCCAAAGUGACGGUCAUCUUGCCUGAAAUCCCGCUAGGAAGAAGAACGAGUCCAUGAAGAAGACGAACCAACGUAGUCGAG
rnacentral:lncRNA from 1 species